AUCCAGUUGACGAGUCCCCAAUAGGACGAAACGCGCAUCCUGGAU
rnacentral:hammerhead_ribozyme from 1 species